rnacentral:rRNA from 1 species
GACGAACCGUACGAACGUUAUUCGGAAUCACUGGGCUUAAAGGGUGCGUAGGCGGCGCGGAAAGUUGGGUGUGAAAGCCCUCGGCUCAACCGAGGAAUUGCGCCCAAUACUACCGUGCUUGAGUGAGAUAGAGGUGAGCGGAACUUAGGGUGGAGCGGUGAAAUGCGUUGAUAUCAUCAGGAACACCGGUGGCGAAGGCGGCUUUCUGGGUCUUACCUGACGCUGAGGAACGAAAGCCAGGGGAGCGAACGGG